CUGAGUACGGCGGAACACGUGAAAUUCCGUCGGAAUCCGGGAGGACCAUCUCCCAAGGCUAAAUACUCCCUAGUGACCGAUAGUGAACCAGUACCGUGAGGGAAAGGUGAAAAGCACCCCGGAAGGGGAGUGAAACAGUUCCUGAAACCGUGUGCCUACAAGUAGUUAGAGCCCGUUAAUGGGUGAUAGCGUGCCUUUUGUAGAAUGAACCGGCGAGUUACGAUUUGUUGCAAGGUUAAGCGGAAAAAGCGGAGCCGUAGCGAAAGCGAGUCUGAAUAGGGCGCAUAAGUAACAGGUCGUAGACCCGAAACCAGGUGAUCUACCCAUGUCCAGGAUGAAGGUAAGGUAAUACUUACUGGAGGUCCGAACCCACGCACGUUGAAAAGUGCGGGGAUGAGGUGUGGGUAGCGGAGAAAUUCCAAUCGAACUUGGAGAUAGCUGGUUCUCUCCGAAAUAGCUUUAGGGCUAGCCUCGAGGUAAAGAGUCAUGGAGGUAGAGCACUGUUUGGACUAGGGGCCCUUCUCGGGUUACCGAAUUCAG
rnacentral:rRNA from 1 species